rnacentral:rRNA from 1 species
GACGAACGCUGGCGGCGUGCUUAACACAUGCAAGUCGAACGGUAAGGCCCUUCGGGGUACACGAGUGGCGAACGGGUGAGUAACACGUGGGUGAUCUGCCCUGCACUUCGGGAUAAGCCUGGGAAACUGGGUCUAAUACCGGAUAGGACCACUGCCUGCAUGGGUGGUGGUGGAAAGCUUUUGCGGUGUGGGAUGGGCCCGCGGCCUAUCAGCUUGUUGGUGGGGUGAUGGCCUACCAAGGCGACGACGGGUAGCCGGCCUGAGAGGGUGAACGGCCAGACUGGGACUGGGAUACGGCCCAGACUCCUACGGGAGGCAGCAGUGGGGAAUAUUGCACAAUGGGCGCAAGCCUGAUGCAGCGACGCCGCGUGAGGGAUGACGGCCUUCGGGUUGUAAACCUCUUUCAGCACCGACGAAGCGCAAGUGACGGUAGGUGCAGAAGAAGGACCGGCCAACUACGUGCCAGCCGCCGCGGUAA